GACGAACGCUGGCGGCGUGCUUAACACAUGCAAGUCGAACGGAAAGGCUCUAGCUUGCUGGAGUACUCGAGUGGCGAACGGGUGAGUAACACGUGGGUAAUCUGCCCUUCACUUUGGGAUAAGCCCAGGAAACUGGGUCUAAUACUGGAUAUGACCUCCCUCUUUAUGGGGUUUGGUGGAAAGUUUCUCAGUGUAGGAUGAGCCCGCGGCCUUUCCGCUUGUUGGUGGGGUGAUGGCCUACCAAGGCGACGACGGGUAGCCGGCCUGAGAGGGUGAUCGGCCACAUUGGGACUGAGAUACGGCCCAGACUCCUACGGGAGGCAGCAGUGGGGAAUAUUGCACAAUGGGCGGAAGCCUGAUGCAGCGACGCCGCGUGAGGGAUGACGGCCUUCGGGUUGUAAACCUCUUUCAGCAGGGACGAAGCGUAAGUGACGGUACCUGCAGAAGAAGCACCGGCUAACUACGUG
rnacentral:rRNA from 1 species